rnacentral:lncRNA from 1 species
UUCGGGCUCAGAUCACGCAUUGUACCCGUCUGUUCAAUGUGAAAACUCAUAAACCACAGUCCCAAACCACAAACACAGAGGUAGUCACUACAAUGGACCCAAAUCACUCAAACACGAACAAGAAACUCUCCACAAAUCACAUCCGAACAGUCACACGGACUAGAAGCACACAUAGUGGCCAGAAAACCAAAGGUUUAGUGGCUAAAUCACAAGAUUCAUGAAGAAGGAGAAGAGAUAGAAGACAUAGAGUCACGAAGAGAGAAACCCAGAAGGUUUGAGAGAAAAUAUCACGAAGAGGCAAAGUAAAAUAUGACUCGAAUUAGGGCAAAAAGACUCAGACCCCGUUUAUAUAUUAAUAGGGCAUCACCGUAGAUGUUAGGUUAAG